rnacentral:tRNA from 1 species
GGCUCUGUAGUGAAGUUCAUAGUGAGUUGCAAGCUCAUUGAUGCGUAUUUAAGAGUGCGCCGGGGCCU